AGACCCGAAACCCGGUGAUCUAGCCAUGGGCAGGUUGAAGGUUGGGUAACACUAACUGGAGGACCGAACCGACUAAUGUUGAAAAAUUAGCGGAUGACCUGUGGCUGGGGGUGAAAGGCCAAUCAAACCGGGAGAUAGCUGGUUCUCCCCGAAAGCUAUUUAGGUAGCGCCUCGUGAAUUCAUCUCCGGGGGUAGAGCACUGUUUCGGCUAGGGGGCCAUCCCGGCUUACCAACCCGAUGCAAACUGCGAAUACCGGAGAAUGUUAUCACGGGAGACACACGGCGGGUGCUAACGUCCGUCGUGAAGAGGGAAACAACCCAGACCGCCAGCUAAGGUCCCAAAGUCAUGGUUAAGUGGGAAACGAUGUGGGAAGGCCCAGACAGCCAGGAUGUUGGCUUAGAAGCAGCCAUCAUUUAAAGAAAGCGUAAUAGCUCACUGGUCGAGUCGGCCUGCGCGGAAGAUGUAACGGGGCUAAACCAUGCACCGAAGCUGCGGCAGCGACACUCAGGUGUUGUUGGGUAGGGGAGCGUUCUGUAAGCCUGUGAAGGUGGCCUGUGAGGGUUGCUGGAGGUAUCAGAAGUGCGAAUGCUGACAUAAGUAACGAUAAAGCGGGUGAAAAGCCCGCUCGCCGGAAGACCAAGGGUUCCUGUCCAACGUUAAUCGGGGCAGGGUGAGUCGACCCCUAAGGCGAGGCCGAAAGGCGUAGUCGAUGGGAAACGGGUUAAUAUUCCCGUACUUGGUGUUACUGCGAAGGGGGGACGGAGAAGGCUAUGUUGGC
rnacentral:rRNA from 1 species